rnacentral:rRNA from 1 species
UACGUAGGGUGCGAGCGUUGUCCGGAAUUAUUGGGCGUAAAGGGCUCGUAGGCGGUUUGUCGCGUCGGGAGUGAAAACCUUGGGCUUAACUCAGGGCUUGCUUUCGAUACGGGCAGACUAGAGGUAUGCAGGGGAGACUGGAAUUUCCGGUGUAGCGGUGAAAUGCGUAGAUAUCAGGAGGAACACCGGUGGCGAAGGCGGGUCUCUGGGCCGAUACUGACGCUGAGGAGCGAAAGCGUGGGGAGCGAACAGG